AAGGGUGGGAUAAACGGGACCAUUUCAAAUUUGGUAAAAUUUUUUUUCGUAAUUUUCCAGUGGACUCGAUAUAUUUUUUGCCACAUCAAAUAUAUAUGGUGUUUUCGUUACUAUAUUUACAUUUUACACGGAAAAAGAGCAGUAGAAAAAUUACAGUUUUUAGUGCAACAACACGGCUGCCCAAUUUCAAAACACAGAAAUGUGAGACUUGAACUGAUUAUAUUUAAUCUUACAACAGUACACGUGUCAUUAUCUACAAAUUACUACUUUACAUACAUGUAUAUAUGUAUAUGUAUAUCAAGAAGUUAUAGUUACAUUCUAACGAGGGCCUUGACCAAGAGACCAAAAGUAUGACACGAUUAACGCCGGCGACAAAGGCAUCAUAUAUAUUAAUAAUUAUUAUAAUUAUUGAUAAAAAAAAAUGGGUAAUGCAG